GUUGAAACACCGAUUCUCAAACGAUCACCGAAGUUAAGCAAAGUCGAGCCUGGUCAGUACCUUGAUAAGUGACAGCUUGGGAAUACCAGGUGAUGUC